AUUGAACGCUGGCGGCAUGCCUUACACAUGCAAGUCGAACGGCAGCACGGGAGCAAUCCUGGUGGCGAGUGGCGAACGGGUGAGUAAAGUAUCGGAACGUGCCCAGUCGUGGGGGAUAACGUAGCGAAAGUUACGCUAAUACCGCAUACGAUCUAUGGAUGAAAGCGGGGGAUCGCAAGACCUCGCGCGAUUGGAGCGGCCGAUAUCAGAUUAGGUAGUGGGUGGGGUAAAGGCUCACCAAGCCGACGAUCUGUAGCUAGUCUGAGAGGACGACCAGCCACACUGGGACUGAGAAACGGCCCAGACUCCUACGGGAGGCAGCAGUGGGGAAUUUUGGACAAUGGGCGAAAGCCUGAUCCAGCCAUGCCGCGUGCAGGAUGAAGGCCUUCGGGUUGUAAACUGCUUUUGUACGGAACGAAAAGGUUUGGCCUAAUAAGCUGAGCUCAUGACGGUACCGUAAGAAUAAGCACCGGCUAACUACGUGCCAGCCGCCGCAGUAA
rnacentral:rRNA from 1 species